AAAAUCUAACAACAUAUUUUACUAACAAACAAACCCAUUCUCUUUCUCUUUCAUCUUACUUCCAAGUUAGCAAGAACAAAAGAAAAAGGGAGAGGGAGAGAGAGAGGAAUUUCGGCAGCCCUAGGGUGAGAAGAGAGGAGAUUUUGGUUUUCAUACAAUCAAGAUCCAUCUCAUAAUUUAGAAGGAGAAGAAGGAAAAGCUAAGGUAUAGCAAAAAUUUCUACUUAUGUAGUCUAAUUUUCUUUGUGGUUUGAUUUGAUUUUUGUCAAUAUGAAGUUAUGAUCUUGAGGUUUAAAACCUUAGAUCUAUGUGUUUAUGAGUGUUUCAUGUGUAGAAUUACCCAUAUUGGGUGUUGAUUUGGUUGGAAUCAAAGGAAUAGAAAAAUAGAAUUUUUCCGGAAAGUUAAACUUUUAAAGUGUGAUCUAACUUUUGAUAUUUUUGAAAUCUAUGAUGGAUAUUUGUGAUUUAUGUUCUUGGGAUGCUAGGUCUAUGUAUUAAUGAUAAAAUCCCUUUGGAAUCACUCAAUUAGGUUGAAUAUUGAGCAAGUUAUAAAAUUUAUUCCAAACUACUCCAAGCUAGAAAAAACUGUUAACAUAACAGUUUAUAACAGCCACUUCCGGGAUAAUUUCCGGGAGCUUAACAUAUCCAAAUAUGGAUUGUGAUAGAUGAAAACUGUAGAUCGGAAAGAUACGAAUCCAACAAAAUUGACAGAUCGUUAAUCGGAGUUAUAGAUUUCAUUUUAUUUAAGUUUUGGUAAAGGACUCCAAAACUGCCAAAGUACAAAAGGAAGCUGCCCAAAAUUUUAUAGGGGCUGUUUCAGUAGUUUAAAUUGCGGAAUAGAUUCCGGGCUUUUGGGACAUGAAAAUAUAAGGUAUUAAGUACCUUGUGUCCAAAAAUGAGCCCAUUCCGACUUAAAACGACCAAGUUAUGACCAUUUUAAUUUUUGUGAUUUUCGGACGGAAAUCGCUAUAACCGGAGUUCUACAACUCCGAUUGCCACGAAAUUUAAACUGGAGGCUCACGUUAACACGUAUAAGAUCGUGUCAAAAGAUGGGAAAUUCUGGAGUUAAGCACGAGGUAGCUAAUUUCUUAAGCUACGCACUAAAAUUGAUUUUUUGAAAAAUACCAAAGGAAGUUGGAAAAUUAUGAAAAAUAAUUUUUGUGUAUAAAAUAUAUGUAUAUGUGUUUGGACAAAGGAUAAAAAAAUAAUAAACUGUUUUGGUAUUUUCGUGAAAAGGAUAUGGAAUCCAGCUUGCUGGAUUAUGUAAUUUGUGAUUCCAGUUUGCUGGAUUGAAAAACAGUUUACUAAAUUGAAAAUUUGUUGAAUCCAGUUUGCUGGAUUGCAAUUUGGUUUGUGGAUUUGGAAUCCAGGUUGCUAGAUUUGGAAUUCAGGUUGCUGGAUUUGGAAUCCAGGUUGCUGAAUUGGCAAUUUAGUUGCUAGACAUAGAAUCCAGGUUGCUGGAUUCGUAUUUAACUUAUUAUUAGAUGUUAAAGAUUAACUUAUGAAAUGAAAAGGUAAGUGUUAAAUCAUAAUGUAUAUGAUAUAGUGAUUAAAGAAUUAUCAAAAGAUGAUAAUAAUGCUAAAGAUAUUUGACUUAUCUAAUAUUGAAGCUUAGAAGCCGAAUUUAAUUGACAAUAACUGUGUUAAUUGUCGGAUAGGGUGACCAGAACACCGAGAAUGGACCGAAGUCCAACCAGACUGAACUAGUUUGACUUGUUAAGUGUUUAUAUAGGUUAUAAACAUUGAUGUGGUUAUGUGGUAAUGUGUUUAUGAAAAGUAUGACUGUAGAUUACAGUGUUGUGUGUUUUUAUAUUGUUGUUCUAAUUGUGAGACCGAUAUCAUUGGUUAUAGGUCUUUCAAAAGCAGAUAAGUAUUUUGUGUAGCUGUAAUCAGCAGAAGAGGCAAGUUCCCUAACUCAACCUUGAGUUAUAUUCAUUCAAUUGUUAUGGUGGUUAAUUAUUGUUGAUUAAGCCACGUCUAGGGAUUUAUUGUUGAUAUUUUGCAGUUAGUGCAUGUUUAAUGAUUCAAUUUGAAUUACUGAUUCAGAAUAUAUACAUUCGUAGAAUAACUGUUGUUGGAUAUUCAUAUCUGUAGAAGUUAGAAUUGACAGUACAGAUAAUUCAUGUUUAUUGUCAAAACUAUAUUGAGAAAUGUCUUAGCCAAUUAUUCUGGUUAGACGAACAUUUGUUAGAACUUAAUAGGUUUGAGAAGAUAAGAGAAGAGAAUUUAAUUAUUAUUGAUAGAUCAAUGCCAGUUGUUUCGGCUAGAUCGAAAAUGAAAACUUGAUAGGUUUGAAAAGAGAAGAGAAGAGAAGCAAAUAGAAUUUGAAAUCACAGUAUUUUGUUGUUAAAUCAAACUCUUGAUUCUAAGACUAAGAAGAACAACCUUUUAUAUAAAGGGAACAUUUUGUUGGUCGUGAAUUCGACCUUUGCGCGCGUUUUGAGUAUUAUGCAUAAUAUAGGGUACAAGGAGUUGACCGAAUCUGAGUGCUUGCAUAGGGGUAUGAUUUAAUCUUUAUGGUUAUCUAAUACACCUGAGUAUAUAUCAAAGUAAAUCUUUGAUAGAUACCCGAGAAGCCUGAGUAUAUAUCAAAAUAAAUCUUUGAUAGAUACCCGAGAAGUCUGAGUAUAUAUCAAAGUAAAUCUUUGAUAGAUACCCGAGAAGAUAAGUUCAAGAUCUUGUGUGAUCGCUCAGUAUAAAUCUGGAAAACAUUCCACUUUGUUACUUCGUAGAAUUGAUUCUUGAUUAUUCAUUAGAAUAUCGUAGAAACUUUAAAAGCGUUGUACUCUUUCAUUAUUGAAUUAUUGUGUUGUAUAGAAUACGAGAAGAAUUGUUAUUGAAUAACGAUUUGUUCAGCUAUUUCAAAGUUCCCCGAACUUUGGUUUCAUUCUAUCAAAAUAGAUAGUCUCUUGUUUUUGAAUUCUUAUAUAUUUAUUGUAUGUCUUAACUUGCGGGGCAAAUUAGUUGCUCACCCUUGCUAAAUAAAACUUUUCAGCUAGGGACGAAGUUGCAGGAGGUGCUGCGAAAGAUAAAGGCAAAGGCAUAGUUAUUAAUUAAUUAUGAUUAACAUAUUUAUUAUGUUGUAUUGUAAACCCUUUUUGUAUAUCUAAAGGGUAUGUUUGUAAUGUUAAGGUUAGAGAACCUGAAAAAUGUAUUAUCAAACUCUGAUAAAGUCUUAUGUAUGUUACUCUCUAUAUAUUAUGGGUAGUUAAAUGUUAUUUAUAUUGUGGAUCGUGAGCACCAAACUCGGGGGUCAGGUAACUCAAAUUUG
rnacentral:lncRNA from 1 species